ACGUUAUUGGAGGAUAGAGGAUUGAGUAAGAGAGCCCAAAAAUUUGAUUGGAGGAGCCGACUCCGGAUGUGCUUGACUGAACACUGAUUGGAGAACAAGGGGUCAGGAAGAGCAGUUCCGCACGAGGAUUGGGCGGUGGCGUGUCCCAUGGAAACGGAAUCCAGAACUGCAGCCAGGGUUUUUCACGGGGGCGGAGCCGGCUCUUCCCCAGGCGCCUGCGCCUAACCGGUUCCCCGGCGCCAUUUUGUCCCGGCAGCAGCAGCCCGCAGCUCUAUCCCAUUUUCUGUGUCUGGAGGGAAGGACGCGGACUCUCUCGGAGUUGUGCUGAAGACAACAGACACCUCCAUGACAACCCAAAGUAUCACAGAGGAAAUGAAAAGCUGUGGACUCAUUCAAAGUUAAUUAAGAUUAGGUAUGACCAUGGAAGACUUGUGUAUGACCAUGGAAGACUUCUAGAGAAUCUUGACUGGUGAUGUGGAAAAAGAGACCCAGAAGAACAAAAAAACAGGUGACUGUAAUGCUGGUCCCCCUGUGCAGGAACAGCUCAGGAGACUGUCGGAGACAUGAGUGUCCUUGUAGAAGCCAGCAGUCUUGUUGGCUGUCAGGUCCUCAGGACUUAGUAUUAUUACAUGUCAUCCUUUCAUGUGGCAUGAAUGAGGAUUUAUAAAGCCCUAUUACGGUUUGGUUAUGCAGUCCAAACAGACUUACAAAGAUUUACAGAUUAAUUUUACUGCUCAAGCAUAGAGCAGAGACUCCUCAUUAGCUAAUUUGUGCAUACUACACUUUCCGUACACGUGUUACUGCAAAAAUGUCCCUACAGUGUUACCAGAGCUGGGGCAGGAAGUAAGGGUGGAAUUCCUGAGCUCACUGACACUGAUGCUGAAGGAAGCAGGAGGUGGGCGGAGCUGGCAGUGGUGAGAGCCACGUGGAUACAUGGGAUGGUGGAGGAGUCAGGAAAAGUUAGUAGCUAGCUGAGACUGUCCUAGCAAAAGACCAACAGCUUUAUUUUCUUCAAAAUUUAAUAAUAAACUGUAGAAAUAAACUAUUUUGAAAGAGUAGUUCAUAGAUUCCAUUGAGAAUGUAAUUAAUUGACCUGUUUAGUAUUUUUUAUUGAAAAAAUAAAUUGAGAUUCUUUUUUUUUUUUUAAAAAAAAAAAAAAAAAAA
rnacentral:lncRNA from 1 species